GUGGCUGAAUUGGACUCACUGCCUCAGGGAAACUGGAAGCAACGUCACGGAUGCCAGACGACAUUGCCACACCUCCAGAGUUAGGAUUGGGAGGAGCCAUGUGGAUUCCUGAGAACAGGGACGCAUAAAACUCACUUUUUAAGACUGUGGGAAAGCAAAGCAGCAUCAGAUACUUACUUUCAGGACCAGGUUGAAAAGCAGCUCCUGGUUGUGCAGAGCUGAGGGGGAGUUUCCUCACUGAAGGGUCCCUGAAGCCUGAGGAGAUGGGCCCAGAAGAAGAACUGAGGGCAACGGACGGUGCCGGUCCUCUUUGAGCAGUAGGCUGAGAGAUGCCGGGCCCCACAUGUGGUUGAGUUGGAUUAUGUCGUAUGAUGACAGCUUUAGAAGGCGCUUUGAGAGGCCAAACUACAGACUGAUCUCCCUGCGCUUCCCAUGUCAGCAGUUACUCACAAGCUGCUCCUGCUGUAAAUUCAAACCAGGGAGAUCAGUCUGUAGUUUGGCCCAAAGUUCCCAAAGGGGUCAUCAUGCAACGUAAUCCAACUCAACCACACGUGGGGCCCGGCAUCUCUUAUCCUACUGCUCAAAGAGGACCAGCACCAUCUGUUGGCCUCAGUUCUUCUUCUGGGCCCAUCUCCUCAGGCUUCAGGGACCCUUCAGUCAGGCAACUUCCUUUCAGCUCUGCACAACCAGGAUCUGCUUUUCAACCUGGUCCUGAAAGAAUCCACAUGGCUCCUCCCAAUCCUAACUCUGGAGGUGUGGGAGUGUCUGGUAUCCGUGACGUUGCUUCCAGUUUCCCUGAGGAAGUGAGUCCACCAACUGAAUCACCGUACAAAGCGGGAGAGCUCUCCCAGUUUGAUAGAAGCUUUGACUAUGGCAACAACGAGAUGGAGACUGAGCAACGCGGCAGUCGGCCUCCACCACCCUUCUUUGGUCCAGCGUCUGCUGGACAAGGUUUUGCAGGACCACUUCAGCCAAACACCAACAUUGGUUUAGGAUUUGACUUCUUUCCUUCCCCUUACUACGACUACAUGUUCCUGACUGGCCAGUAUCCUCCAGGCACCUUCAGUCAUACCAGCAGCAGCUAUAAUCAGGGGAGGGACUACUACGAAGACAUUCAGUAUGAGAGACCCGGUCGUGAGCAGCCGAUGGCGCCAGUCGCUGACUUUCAAUCCCCCCAGAGCAUCAAGGGUCCCAAUCCUCGGAUGGCUGGUUACAGGCAAGUUGGUGCAAAGGCCAAACCUGAUUCUUCCCACAGAGGCUUCAAGCCGGUUAGUGGCCAAGCUGGUGGCCGCAACCAAGUUAAGGUGGGGAUGCCUUCAGUGUACAAAGCCUUUUGAAUGCAAUAAAAGUUUUAAGAUGUCAACUUGACUGCUUUCCUUAUAUUUUUUUUUUGAUGUGCCAAAAUUAUGCAUGACAGGUUUAUUUGGAGAUGAAGAUUCAUACACCUGAACAUGGAUUAAUUUUAUAGAAUUUACUGGAAAAUGUUUACAGCUGUAGCAUUGGUAAUCUGUAUAAACUGCAUCCAGUUUGUGUUAUACAGCAUUUCUCAGUUGCUUUGGUACAUUUCUUGACUACUCUUUGACAUUUGCAAAAGGACGUGCAUUUUUCAAAAUUCGUACAAAUCUCAGAACACCACGAUUGCCUCCAAAAGCUCUUGCUCUCAGUUCAUCUCAAGUGAAAUCUGUCAGUGCCAUCCGAAUGAGUCAUUGUGUACGGAUCAAACUGUCAAAUUGCUUAGUUGUGUUGUCUGCCAAACCUUGUACUCUAGUGGUUUUGCUCUGGUGUAAAUGAUGGCAUUGUAAGUUACACCUUGGUGUCUGGGAGAUUGCAAGAGACUGGACAAGAUUCACUUUCCCACUUUUACGGUUUGUACUGUAAUGUGUUAACACUGUGUAGUCUUUUCCUUUCAGUAUUGUAAUGCCAAAAACCAGUGAACAUGGAACAAUCUCCUUCGGGAAGGCUGUAUAUCCUGUGUUGUAGGAAUUACAGUGCAGUCUUCCUACACCUUGUCGUGCCACAAAUUUUCAUCCACAUCACAACGAAUAUCUUUUGCGAUGCAGAUUGGAAAGAAUCUUUUAGACAGUCUCAUCCAGCCUCUGCUGUAAUGUCAUCACAGGGUCCAUCCAUGGUGGCCAGCAGGUCCAUCCAUGUGUCAUUUCUGGCGAUCACUUUCCAUCUCAAUGCUGAGAAAUUCCUCAACAGGGUUAAGUAA
ensembl:lncRNA